AUUAAGAAAAUGCCCUUCAGGCUUGCCUGCAGCCUGACUUUAUAGAGGCAUUUUCUCAAUCAAGGCUCCUUCCUCUCAGUUGAUUCUAGCCUAUGUCAAGUUGACAUAAAACUAGCCAGCACAGGGUACACUUAGAAUAUAAGCAAAUGAGGAUGUAGCUCAGUAGCAUGCUUGCCUAGCAUGCAUAAAGACCUGAGACUGCAGGAGACCCCUCUUCACUUGAAAUGCCUGGUGUGUUCCUUCUGUACCCCCAGUGCUGAGUAAGUAGGCUUUGAUGGUUCAUGCCUGUAAAUCCAACACUCAGGAGGUAGAGAAGUAAGAGGAUCAGGAGGUCAAGGUUACACUUGAAUACAAAGCUUAAACCUUAGGGGGAGGGGCUGGUGAGAUGGCUCAGCACACAGACUGCCUGCUACUCAAAGUCUGAGUUCCAUGAGUUCCCUGGAACACAGGUGUAAGUGGAAAGGCAAAACCAACUCUACAGCCUGUCCUCUGACCUCCACACAAGUGAUAAUUAAACUGCUUCUAAUUCAUCAAGUUCACAAGUCCAUUCCAUUUCAGAAUUCUUUUCUCUGAGCCUUCUCAUGCCUGAAACUAAGGCGAGAGGGACAUAUCUGCUGUGUUUUAAGAACAGAAACAAAUUUUUAAUAAGAACAGAGAGAUAAAUCAGCAGUUGAGAAAUUUAUUUAAGAGUACCAAUAAAUAAUGGUUUCCUGGCAACCUUUCUGAAUCAUAAUAUACCUUUUUUAAAAAAAUUAAUUACAUGCAUGGUGAUGGGUUGUUGGCAUACUUUCUUUUUUUUUUAAUGCUACUUUAUUGGGUUCUUAUAUCUACCACCCUUCCAACACAUAUUCAAUCCUAAUCCCUUCCAAUCCCCCAACACUAGAUAGAAGAGAGAGAUUAGAGGGGGAAGGGCGUGUCCACCUCUUUAGACUACUUCCUGCUGAUUAGGAGUAUCGGGUUCCUUGGAGCAAGUCCAAUCUUUGUCAUUAGGAUAUCUCCAACUUCUCUUUGCUGACAACCACUUGACACGCCACAAUAGGAACUAGCACCAGGGCGAACAGCAGCCACCCCAGACCCUCUCAGGGCUCUUUCAUGUAUCCCUCUCCAGAGUCCCCAGAAUUAAACUAUCUGCAGCUGGCAAAGAUCACGCCCCUGCUAGUGGACGAGACAAUCAUAAUCACCUGCUGUGAAGCAGCCUCUUAUCCACACCCGAGAUUAACACAAAAACAUAGUCACAUGAAGAAACUAAGAUUCUCAAUGGGCCUUGCAAGCUGAUGGAGGAGGAAGACACAUCUACUUAAGGGAAGAAGUCUUAUGGCUCCACAGGACAGAGGAGAGAGGCUUCUGUCUGAGACUCUGUCUGAGAGGGAAAGCACAUAUGAAUAAUCCCAGCAGUCAGGACUUUGGACCCUAGGAUUGCUGUGAAUUUGAGGCCAGCCCAGGUUACAGAACUACAGAGUAAGGCUCUGUCUCAAACAAAACC
rnacentral:lncRNA from 1 species